CGCCAUAGACCUGACCUGAAGUUUCAGUGUACUCAGCAAGCUUUUCAAGUUAGAAAUCAUGGAGACCAGUCAGGAAACUUCCCUCUUCUUGGCGAAGAUCUUGGAGGAACUGGACAGCAAGCAAAAUACCGUUUCUUAUCAGGACCUGUGCAAAUCUCUGUGUGCGCGGUUCGAUCUGUCGCAGCUUGCCAAACUGAGAAGUGUGCUCUUCUACACGGCCUGUCUCGAUCCCAAUUUUCCAGCCACGCUCUUCAAAGACAAGAUGAAAUGCACUGUGAAUAACCAGCAAUCAAAGAAAAUUAUGGUGGCAGCAGAUAUAGUGACAAUAUUCAACCUGAUCCAAAUGAAUGGCGGGGCCGCCAAGGAGAAGCUGCCCACGGGCCGCCAGAAGGUGCGCAAGAAGGAGGCAUCCUUUGACUCACGCAGGUCGGACACAGAGGUCUGCAAUGCAGCCGAGUGUGAGCCCCUGAACUGCGAGCUGAGUGAGAGGUCUUUCAGUCGGGGCCACCCCACCAGGCAGUCGUCCAAGGGCCGGAAGAUAGACUGCAAGGACUGCUUGCAGUUUGUCCCUGCCUCUGAGCCUAACUUCCUGUUGGGGGUUAGCAAAGAGGUGAAACACCGUGCUGCUUCCCUGGACAGGCUGCAGGCGCUGGCCCCUUACUCUGUGACCAGCCCUCAGCCCUGUGAGAUGCAGAGGACCUACUUCCCCAUGAACAUUGAAAACGAGUCCAUUUCAGACCAGGACUCCCUGCCCAUCAACCAGGGCAUCAAGGAGACCUUCAUUUCCAAUGAGGAGCCAUUUGUGGUCCAGUCCUGUGUCCAGAAAAGGAAUAUCUUUAAAGAGGAUUUUCACAAUUUGAUGGCAGUGUCCCCUAGUAUGGUUGGCCCCAUCAGCAAAGCAGAGAAUGAGCACAGGGAACCCCAGAGUCGAAAGGAACCCCACAAGCCACCCUUCUUUAACCACAGCUUUGAAAUGCCCUAUAACAGCCAGUACCUGAACCCGGUGUAUUCCCCUGUUCCUGACAAGAGGCGAGCAAAGCAUGAAAGCUUAGAUGACCUUCAAGCCUCUACGUACUUCGGGCCCACUCCCGUGAUGGGGACCCAGGAAACCAGGCGCUGUCCAGGGAGGCCCAGCAAGCAGGCUCCAUGGCCAGCCAAAAGCUGGAGCCUGAACACGGAGGAAGUUCCUGACUUUGAACGGUCCUUUUUCAAUAGAAAUCCCUCCGAGGAGAAGCUGCGCUAUCCAAAUGCCAGUAGCCAGACUCCCAAUUUCCCAGCCCCAGACAGGCACCCGACUUACCUCGUGCCAAAUGAUCAGCAGCCAAUUCUCCCCAUUGCUUAUGCAGCAAAACCAAACGGGCUCAAAUCUAAAGAGAUCUCCUCCCCUGUUGACCUGGAGAAGCAUGAACCAGUCAAAAAGUUUAAAGACAAGAGCAUUAACUGCACCAGUGGGCAGCUCAGCUCAGAUACCAGCAGCGUGGGCACCCAGACCGAGCAUGUGCUGGAGCCCAAGAAGUGCAAAGACCUAUGCACCUCCGGUCAGGCCAAGUACAGUGACAGGCACGCCAUGAAGCACUCAGAUGACGACUCGGAAGUUGUCAGUGACGACAUCAGUGACAUUUUCCGAUUUCUUGACGACAUGAGCAUCAGUGGCUCCACGGGAGUGAUACAGUCAUCCUGCUACAACAGCACAGGGUCUUUGUCUCAGCUCCAUAAGUCAGACUGCGACAGCUCCCCCGAGCACAACUUAACCAAAAUUGCCAGUGGGGUCCCCAACAGCAAGAGCGACAAGAGCAGCCGGCCUGAGAACACCCACCACUCGGAAGAAGAGCUGAAGACCAGUGUGUGCAAACUGGUGCUCAGGAUUGGUGAAAUCGAACGGAAGCUGGAAUCCCUGUCGGGCGUCCGUGAAGAGAUCUCCCAGGUCUUGGGCAAACUAAAUAAAUUAGACCAGAAAAUGCAGCAGCCUGAGAAGGUGAAUGUGCAGAUAGACCUGAACUCCUUGACGAGCGAGGCUCCGUCUGACGACAGUGCCUCUCCCAGAAUGUUCCGUGCACACAGUAGCUCCCACGGACCCAAACUGGAGACCAGCCCUGAUUGGUGCUGCUCCGAUGCCAGCGGGAGCAACAGCGAAAGCCUGCGGGUCAAGGCCUUAAAAAAAAGCCUCUUCACCAGGCCGUCCUCUAGGUCCCUAACGGAGGAGAACAGUGCCACGGAGUCCAAAAUUGCCAGCAUCUCCAACUCGCCCAGGGACUGGCGUACCAUCACUUACACCAACCGCAUGGGUCUCAAUGAGGAGGAGAUAAAAGACCCGGGCCCAGGAGAUAAUAAAGACUGGCAUCGGAAAUCUAAAGAGGCAGACAGGCAGUACGACAUUCCCCCACAGCACCGACUUCCCAAGCAGCCCAAAGACGGCUUCCUGGUGGAGCAGGUGUUCAGCCCUCACCCCUACCCUGCAUCCCUCAAAGCCCACAUGAAGAGCAACCCCCUGUACACUGACAUGCGGCUGACCGAGCUGGCCGAGGUGAAGCGAGGCCAACCUUCCUGGACCAUUGAGGAGUAUGCACGGAAUGUGGGCGACAAGGGCAAGCUGACAGCCCUGGACCUGCAGCACGUGGGAUAAACAUAUUUGUGGGAGCCCAGCUAUGGAUUAUGUUUCCAUACGGAGCCGCCCCAGACACAAGAAUCUUUAAACCCAAACAACUUAGAGUACUGGAUGGAAGACAUUUAUACUCCAGGCUACGAUUCAUUACUAAAACGUAAAGAAGCCGAAUUCAGACGAGCCAAGGUCUGCAAGAUAGCUGCUCUGAUCGCUGCGGCGGCAUGCACGGUCAUCCUCGUGAUUGUCGUGCCCAUCUGCACAAUGAAAUCAUGAGCUGAGAAUGCAACCUGCGUGCGGCGUACGACUACCAAUGUCUUGUCUGUGUUUUAGAAGCUCGCAGCAGUGAGGCAACAGUCUGUUGAGAUAGAGAUGAAAUCAUGGAAGCUUUUUUGCAAAUGUUGAAUGAAGGUGGUUUUUAGAAAAUACACAUUCUAGUGAGAAAUCUACGUACCUAUUAGCUUUGACUCAAUUACACUCGAUGCAUUUUUAGAAGUGCAAUAUCUUUUCCUACCAAAAGAAUGUAAUGGACUACCAGUAAAUACAAAUUGACUAUCCCAGGCCAAAAAAAAAAAAAA